AUUCUAUAUGCAUAAAAUUUAUGGUAAUAUUUGGAACAAUAUCAAAAAGAUUAGCAUGACCAUGUGCAAGAAUGACACGCAUAAAUCGAGAAAUAAUAAUAUAGUUA